CCGAUUCUACAUACCGGAGGUCCCUAGGACGGACGACGUCGACUUUUUGAGGCUUCGGACUCGACGAGGCAACGAAAUCGUGGCCGUCCAUAUCAAGCAUCCUAAGACCACUGCUACUCUUCUCUACUCCCACGGUAAUGCCGCUGAUUUAGGUCAGAUGUUCGAGCUCUUCAUUGAGAUGAGCCUCCGUCUUCGCAUCAAUCUCAUGGGGUGUGGUUUAUGGCAGGGUUUUCACACGUUUUUUUGUUGAUUUUUAUGAGGUACAUAUGCCUUGGCUUGAAGGUGUGUUUGAUUAGCUCAUAAAAAGUUAUGGCUUUGUUUGCUACAAUGGUUAAUUAGAUCAAAAUCGGAGAAACACGAUGUGGCGAAGCAGCUUCGUCGAGACCCCUAUGAAGUUCUCGGCAUCUCAAGGAACUCCACAGAUCAGGAAAUCAAAAGCGCUUAUCGAAAAAUGGCUCUCAAUUAUCUGCUCAUAAUAUCAAGUAUCAAUUCUGGGUUUUUCAAGUAGCAAACCAAUUGACCCGAAAAUUCUUGGUGGAAACAAAGAAAUCGGUUCAACAAGCCAGCAAAAUUGGGUAUGUGAUGGGGUUCAGACACAGUUGUGGGUCAGAUAGCAAUGGUCGUGCAGGAUGAUUAUGGGUGUGGUGGAAUGAUGCAGUGGAAGUAUUGCCAACUUAUAGGUCUGCGAAUAUAAUUGCUUUGCAGAUUCAAGAUGAUAUUAGAGUAGUUUGGUUCAUUGUUUUUUUGUAUGGCCAUCCAUCAGUUUCAAGAAGAGGAGAGGUGUGGUGUCAAGUGGAAAGCCAAAUCAAUAGGUUCCAGCAUCUAUUUAUUAUUAUAGGGGACUUCAAUCAUGCGGAGAAAUUAAGUCUGUCAGGUUGACCCAUUCAGGGAGCUAAGGAGUUUGAUAAUUUGAUUUUCAGAAACCAAAUGGUGGAUCUGCCAAGUAAAGGAGUUCGGUAUACCUGUUGCAACAAUCGGUGGAAUUCAGCUGCAGUGUAUGAACCGUUGAAUAGGGCUUUAGCUUCUUUG